AAAAAGACAAACCCUGGUUUCCGUGUCCAACGUUUGACCAUCCGUCUUAUUUGAAAAAAUUAUGAAAAAAUUAAAAAGAUAAGUCACGCAUAAAGUAUUAAUCAUGUUUUAUCAUCUAACAACAAUGAAAAUACUAAUUAUAAAAAAAUUUCAUAUAAGACGGACAGUCAAACGUUGGCACGGGAACCCACGGUUUGCCUUUUU
rnacentral:pre_miRNA from 1 species